GUAGAGAUACCUGCCAGCAAAUCAACUGUACUACGUGGCCAUGAAUCUGAAGUUUUCAUCUGCGCCUGAACCCAACAACUGAUUUAUUGGCUUCCCGCUCAGAUUGGGAACCUGAAUGCUAUUCAGAUGACGCCAUCUUCAUGACGCUAUUGAACCACGCUACUGACGCCACUAUCACCGAUAGAUGGAAAUCUUCAAAACCACAUUUGGUAUUCAACUAUAAUAGAAAUUUUCUUUUCGUGCUGUAUAUUUCUUUCUUCUUUAUCAAUUAAAAAAAACCAAAAACGAUCAAUUUCGCCAGGGUAGUUCCACACCGCUUUAUGCUGUUGAGCUAUUAAUUUUUUUAAAAUAUUUUGUAAAUUAAAUUCUAUUCCGACAUGGCCGAGAUUCGAACACCGGCACUUGAGAUUAUUACCCCGAGUUGCUAACCACUAGACCACCCGUUGACAUGUACGGAGAAGGGAAAACAUGGGAGUGUAUGGUAUGGCCCAGGUAAACCCCCCUUCACUCACCCCUCUCCCAUGAGUGCGUGCAGCCUCCCCCGCUCGACCACCCUUCUGGCCGGCUUGAGCAGCACCUCGCGUCAGCCCCAUAAAACAAGAAACUUAAAAGUGAUAUGCGUUUGUUGCUUUAAAAAACAUGAAAUUGUUAUGGAUAUGUUUGAAAUCAAUCCGUAAGAUUUAUAAGAUUUA